rnacentral:hammerhead_ribozyme from 1 species
GCACCGCUGACGAGUGCGAAACAGGACGAAACAGCUGUCCAGUGC